rnacentral:rRNA from 1 species
CCUACGGGAGGCUGCAGUGGGGGAUAUUGCACAAUGGGGGGAACCCUGAUGCAGCGACGCCGCGUGGGUGAAGGAGCGUUUCGGCGCGUAAAGCCCUAUCGGCAGGGAAGAAGAUGACGGUACCUGACCAAGAAGCCCCGGCUAACUACGUGCCAGCAGCCGCGGUAACACGUAGGGGGCCAGCGUUAUCCGGAUUUACUGGGGGUAAAGGGGGCGGAGACGGCAAUGCAAGCCAGGAGUGAAAGCCCGGGGGCCAACCCCGGGACUGCUCUUGAAACUGCAUGGCUGGAGUACAGGAGGGGCAGGCGGAAUGCGUGGUGUAGCGGUGAAAUGCGUAGAUAUUAGGAGGAACACCGGUGGCGAAGGCAGCCUGCUGGACUGUGACUGACGUUGAGGCCCGAAGGCGUGGGGAGCGAACAGGAUUAGAUACCCUAGUAGUC